rnacentral:rRNA from 1 species
AGCGAACGCUGGCGGCAGGCCUAACACAUGCAAGUCGAACGAACCCUUCGGGGUUAGUGGCGGACGGGUGAGUAACACGUGGGAACGUGCCUUUAGGUUCGGAAUAACUCAGGGAAACUUGUGCUAAUACCGAAUGUGCCCUUCGGGGGAAAGAUUUAUCGCCUUUGGAGCGGCCCGCGUCUGAUUAGCUAGUUGGUGAGGUAAAGGCUCACCAAGGCUACGAUCAGUAGCUGGUCUGAGAGGAUGACCAGCCACAUUGGGACUGAGACACGGCCCAAACUCCUACGGGAGGCAGCAGUGGGGAAUUUUGCGCAAUGGGCGAAAGCCUGACGCAGCCAUGCCGCGUGGAUGAUGAAGGUCUUAGGAUUGUAAAAUCCUUUCACCGGUGAAGAUAAUGACUGUAGCCGGAGAAGAAGCCCCGGCUAACUUCGUGCCAGCCGCCGCAGUAACAC